GCCAGUGUGUGGUGUAGUGGUUUGAGCACUGGAUUGUGACUCUGGAGAACAGGGUUUGAGUCCCUGCUUGGCC